GCCCAGGUGGCGGAAUCGGUAGACGCGCUGGUCUCAAACACCAGUGGUAGCAAUACCGUGCCGGUUCGAAACCGGCCCUGGGUA
rnacentral:tRNA from 1 species